CGGAGGCAGCAGUGGGGAAUAUUGGACAAUGGGCGCAAGCCUGAUCCAGCAAUGCCGCGUGAGUGAGGAAGGCCUUAGGGUUGUAAAGCUCUUUCGGCGGGGACGAUGAUGACGGUACCCGCAGAAGAAGCCCCGGCUAACUUCGUGCCAGCAGCCGCGGUAAUACGAAGGGGGCGAGCGUUGUUCGGAUUUACUGGGCGUAAAGGGCGCGCAGGCGGCAGAUCAAGUCAGGCGUGAAAGCCCCGGGCUUAACCUGGGAACGGCGCCUGGGACUGGUUUGCUCGAGUUCGGGAGAGGAGCGUGGAAUUCCCAGUGUAGAGGUGAAAUUCGUAGAUAUUGGGAAGAACACCGGUGGCGAAGGCGGCGCUCUGGACCGAGACUGACGCUGAGGCGCGAAAGCGUGGGGAGCAAACAGGAUUAGAUACCCUGGU
rnacentral:rRNA from 1 species